AGAGUUUGAUCCUGGCUCAGAUUGAACGCUGGCGGUAGGCUUAACACAUGCAAGUCGAGCGGAAACGAAGAAUAGCUUGCUAUUCUGGCGUCGAGCGGCGGACGGGUGAGUAAUGCUUGGGAAUCUGCCUAGUCGAGGGGGACAACAGUUGGAAACGACUGCUAAUACCGCAUACGACCUACGGGUGAAAGGGGGCCUCUUCUUGAAAGCUCCCGCGACUAGAUGAGCCCAAGUGGGAUUAGCUUGUUGGUGAGGUAAGAGCUCACCAAGGCGACGAUCCCUAGCUGGUCUGAGAGGAUGAUCAGCCACACUGGAACUGAGACACGGUCCAGACUCCUACGGGAGGCAGCAGUGGGGAUAUUGCACAUGGGCGAAAGCUGAUGCACCCUGCCGCGUGUGUGAAGAAGGCUUCGGGUGGAAAGAAUUUCGUGGGAAGAAGGGUGACUU
rnacentral:rRNA from 1 species